GUUUAUAUCUAAUAAACAGUCAAUAUUGGCCUGAAGUUGCAAAACAGAUCUAAGAUAAUAUCAGGAAGGUUUUUCUCUGAUUUCUCUGGAGGUUUCCUUUAAAACUAGGCUUCAAAUCAGAGCAGGCCAGCUACAGGGAGGUCUGGACUCAGCUGGACUGGCAGCUCAUUUGAACUGGUAUUUAUCUUCCUAAUGCAUGUUAAUCCAUCUCUGACAGUAGGAUGCAGACCACGGCACGUCUCUGACAUUUUCUCCCGAGUCGAUAUCCCCCCCCUCCACUCCCCGCCUCCCUGAGAUGCUUCCUCUGCAGACCGAUCAAUAAGAGUAUCCUCUGGGCUUAAUGACCAUGAGGACCUGCUCGGGGAUCCUGGUUAACUUGUUUAUCUUAAAACACAGCGCGAAUCGGUGCGGGAUAAAUAUUUGUGUUUGUUCCAGCA